rfam:Nicotiana sylvestris Nsyl_contig117349, whole genome shotgun sequence.
GCGCCUGUAGCUCAAUGGUUAGAGCGCCUGUUUCCUAAGCUGAAGGUCGCAGGUUAAACCCUCACCUGGUGUG